rnacentral:rRNA from 2 species
CACCGGCAGCUCAAGUGGUAGCCAUUUUUAUUGGGCCUAAAGCGUUCGUAGCCGGUUUGAUAAGUCUCUGGUGAAAUCCUAUGGCUUAACUGUGGGAAUUGCUGGAGAUACUAUUAGACUUGAGGUCGGGAGAGGUUAGCGGUACUCCCAGGGUAGGGGUGAAAUCCUGUAAUCCUGGGAGGACCACCUGUGGCGAAGGCGGCUAACUGGAACGAACCUGACGGUGAGGGACGAAAGCCAGGGGCGCGAA